rnacentral:rRNA from 1 species
ACGGAGGAUGCAAGCGUUAUCCGGAUUCAUUGGGUUUAAAGGGUGCGUAGGCGGCUUUUUAAGUCAGUGGUGAAAUCUUGCCGCUUAACGGUAAAAUUGCCAUUGAUACUGAAGAGCUUGAGUACAUUUGAGGUAAGCGGAAUGUGUAGUGUAGCGGUGAAAUGCUUAGAUAUUACACAGAACACCAAUUGCGAAGGCAGCUUACUAAACUGUUACUGACGCUGAUGCACGAAAGCGUGGGGAGCGAACAGGAUUAGAUACCCUGGUAGUCCACGCCGUAAACGAUGUUCACUCGCUGUUUGCGAUACACAGCAAGCGGCCAAGCGAAAGCAUUAAGUGAACCACCUGGGGAGUACGAUCGCAAGGUUG